AUCCUGAAGAUCUUCGUAGACAAUCUCUUUGCUAUCGUCCUGCUGAAGCAGGCCACAGCUGUGCGCUGCUUGGACAUGAAUGCCUCCCGUAAGAAGCUGGCCGUGGUAGAUGAAAAUGACACUUGCCUGGUGUAUGACAUCGACACCAAGGAGCUGCUUUUUCAGGAACCAAACGCCAACAGUGUGGCCUGGAACACCCAGUGUGAGGACAUGCUCUGCUUCUCGGGAGGAGGCUACCUCAACAUCAAAGCCAGCACCUUCCCUGUGCACCGGCAGAAGCUGCAGGGCUUUGUGGUCGGCUACAAUGGCUCCAAGAUCUUCUGCCUCCACGUCUUCAUUUCUGCCGUGGAGGUGCCACAGCCCCAUCACUGUCUAUGAACUGCUGGCUGUAAACUUGUCAUCUGGCCUUUUCACUCAGCAAUCUCCUGAAGCAUGGUUCUGUGUCAGCAAAUGUUCUUAUCCAGCAUGGCAAAAUGUUAAGGUAAUUGUAGACUCACAUAAGUUGCAGGAAAUAAUACAGAGAUCCCUUAUACCCUUUGCCCAGUUUCCCGCAAUGGUAACAGUGUGCAAAGCUCCAGGACGAUUUUGUCACCCAUGUUGGCAUGUGUAACCGCCCCCCACAGUCACGGCACUGAACAUGGCCACCACCACAAGUGCCUAGUGUUGUGCUACCCUUUUACAGCCAGCACCACUCCCUCCUGCCCGGCCCCCCUGCAUUGUAUUUAUGGCUGCAUUUUGUCCUAUCUUGUGGAUGUUCCAUGGCUGACAGACAGGCUGAACAAACAAAGGGUGUGCAAAGAAGCCCAGAGCAGGAGAGAAGGCUCCCCAGCCUGGCUCUUGGUCGGCACACUGACAGGCUGGCUCUGCCUCUCUUGGCUGCACUGUCCUGAAGCAGGAAAUAUGAGAAAAACAAGUAAAGGGAAAACAAGUCCAGUUGGAGCUAUGAUAACAUUAUCUGCAAGGCCAGGCAGGGGCCCCAAAGAAAUGGGAUCCAAGAGCAGGGACGAGAAAAGCAAGUUCUUAGUCUCCCCCUGGAAUUCUUUCCCCAUGCCAUCAUUCUUUGUUCUGCUCUUAUACCUAUUUUUGUAACUAUUUCUGCAAGUUUGCAAGGAUUUUAUAAGUUCCUGUUUUCCCAUCUAUGCAGGAUGGCAAAGGUCACAAGACAUGCCUGAAUUGCAAAACCUGUCACAGUUUGAUUAACUGCCUUUGUUCUGCUUCUGUAAGCUCGCUUUCCCCACCCCGCAAGUUUUGCGCCACUGGCUAGCCACUCGCCUUCAGUUGCCUGAAUAAAAGUCAAGCCUGAUCUUUGUUCAUUGCUCAGCCUCUGGAUAUUAAUCUGCUGGGCCAGUGGCCACCUGAAUAAAAUCCUCCUAUUUCACCCUUUGGUCUCUCCAGUCUCCUGAUUCCCACAACAUUUUGGCAAGCCAGCCAGGAGCGGAGACGACAGGUUUACUGUCUCCUUUGCUUGUGGAACUGGAGCCCCGGGCCAGGGGAGGCCUGUGACCCCAGGGACCAUCAGGAGAACUUCAACCCAGAGGGGAGAUCAGCUCUCCUGUGAUCCAGUGCCCCUACCCGACAGCGCAACAGAACCUAAAGGGGCUACAGGAUGAUUCCAGGAACAGCACGCUUCAGGACCACAGUAAGGUUCGGGGCCCGAGGCAGGACCUGUCCCAUAAGGGCGGAAGGGAACCUGAUCAACUCCCGGGAGUGCACCAAGUAGUCCAACCCAGGAUACAAGAGUGGCUCGCAAAGUCAGAUGAAACUGGCACCUAGGGCGUACGAGUAAUCUGACCUAGGACGCGAGAGUGGCUCACUAUUUCGGAUGAAACCUACACCCCAACCGAACCAGGACGUGAAAGUAGCUUGCUAAGUUGGUUGAGAAAGGAAACUGGAAGCAGGGAGGUGUGAGUGCAUGUGAAAGAGAUGGUUCUGGAAGGAACCAAGCAGGGAGUGACAUGUGGGGGUUGCAGGUCUCUUAGCAUAGACCGUACGCUUCGAGUAAAGUGUGGGACUGACUGGGACUAGUGGCAAACAUCCUACGUGGGCUACCACCUAUGGCUCAGAAAGGUGCCCCGCAAUUUAGUAAUUGUGGGGAGAUUAACGAUCACUCCAAAGCUAAGCAGCAUCUGAAAGACUCCCGCAAGGGAGACGAUCUAAUUGGUCUGAAGCGAAAGUGAGAGUGUGUUGUGCCAAAAAAGGAGGAAAUGGGAGGGAAGUCGUCAAAACCCACCCGGUUAGAAUGUACGUUAAAGAAUUUUAAGAAAGGUUAUAAGAGGGACUAUGGAAUCAAGUUGACCCCCCAGAGGUUAAGAACUCUCUGUGAAAUAGAAUGGCCUUCUUUUAGUGUAGGAUGGCUGGCCUAAAGGACUAUAGAUAGAGAAACAAUUGGCCGUGUAUAUCUGGUGGUGACUAGGGUCAGAGAACAGCCAGGGCAUCCAGACCAAUUCCCUUAUGGUCUGAAUGCAGCCCUGCUUAGCAGCUUAUUGCAGAACACUCGUAGCUUGAGUUGAGCCAAAAGCAAAAGAGAAUUCAGCUUCACUGUCAGCUGCAGAGACAAAGGGGAAAGCCACAAGUUUUGCAGGAACCACUGGAGGAGAUAGAGACCCCUCCUCCCUACACUCCAAUACCCCCCCUUUACCAACGGCUGGCCCCUGAGCAGCCAGACUCAGAUGGUGAUACGCCCCAGGCUACACCCCACGAGGGAGAAAUCUGAGCCCUCAUCCCAGGAGGUCAAGGAGCAAAGUCAGGAUGAUUAAGCAGGCUGCCUCCAGUCUGGCUGCACCCAGGUUAUGCAAAUGCCUCUACAGGGAAACAAGGGGACCUCUUUAUUAUAAUGAACAGGGCCAAGUCCAAGGAGGAGAACGAACUUUCAUUUACCAGCCUUUUUCAACCACCGAUCUCCUAAACUGGAAACACCAUACUCCCUCCUACAUGGAGAAGCCCCAAGCCCUCACAGAUCUAUGCAGUCCAUCUUCCUGACACACAGUCCAACUUGGCCAGACUGCAAACAGCUCCUACUGACGCUGUUUAACACCGAGGAGUGCCGGAGGGUAACCCAGGCAGCCCUCCACUGGUUAAAAGCCAAUGCACCAGAAGGCACACUUAAUGUUCAGGCUUACGCUCGGGGCCAGUUCCCAGAAGCAGACCCUAACUGGGACCCAAAUGAUGCAACCCAGUUUCAGCACCUACAGAGGUACCAAGAAGCACUGCUGCAAGGGUUAAGGGAGGGUAGAAAGAAGGCCGUCAAUAUAGGAAAGAUCUCAGAGGUGCUUCAGGGAAUUGAUGAAAGCCCCAGCCAGUUUUAUGAGAGACUCUGUGAGGUGCUCCGGUUUUGUUUUUUUGUUUUUUUUUUUU
rnacentral:lncRNA from 1 species